rfam:Coniochaeta ligniaria NRRL 30616 unplaced genomic scaffold CONLIGscaffold_3, whole genome shotgun sequence.
GGCUUAUUAGUGUAGUGGUUAGCACGCGGGAUUUUGAUCUUGCACAAAUUCUUCCCGAGUCGCAGGUUCGAGCCCUGCAUAAGCCU